GAUUAAGUAUUUAUUAUAUUCAUAUAAAGAAAAAGUGUCAACUGAUCUUUUUUUAAAAAAAGUUAACAUGGAUAAUUGAGUCAGAAUAUCUUAAAAACUCCUAAUGGUUAUCAAUUAUUGGGAAAUCUCCAUUUUGGAUCUUUUUGAAUCAGAUAUAAUUUGAGCUCCCUACAACUAUCAACAAUUGAUUAAAAAAAUAUACCAAACACUUUUUGGUCCAACAAUUAAGGUUGAACAGCCAACGGCUGCUCAACCCCAAUCAAAACCCAGUAAAAUGAUUUAACG
rnacentral:misc_RNA from 1 species